rnacentral:rRNA from 1 species
AUGACCUAUGUUGUGUUGACAGGAUAUCUAUAUGAUCUGAUCGAUUGCAUAAGACCCACGGUAGCAAUAGAACAGGGAAAGUAUACAGAAAAGACAGUUCUUUGAAAUUUCGAUUAUCUAUAUAUUAUUUCAUUUCUAUUUCUACAACGAAAGAAGACUUCUAUAUCCAAGUUUAGAUCAGACGUAGCUGCCUUCUUUUUGGGCGUGAAGAAGUGUCAAUCCAAAAUACCCAAUAAGCAUAAGCAUUAG